AUACUUACCUGGCACAGGAGAUACCUGAUCACAAAGGCGGUUUUCCCCAGGGCGGGCUCACCAUUGCCCCGGUGGUGCUGCCCCCUGCGAUUAACCCAAAUGUGGUUAACUCGAGUGGAAAUUUUUGUUAGCAGGGGCCUGCGUUCGCGCUAUCCCCUU